rnacentral:rRNA from 1 species
UUGAUCCUGGCUCAGAAUCAACGCUGGCGGCGUGCCUCAGACAUGCAAGUCGAACGCGAAAGUCCCCUUCGGGGGAUAAGUAGAGUGGCGUCCGGGUGAUUAACACGUAGGUAAUCUACCUUCGGGUGGGGAAUAACCCAGGGAAACUUUGGCUAAUACCGCAUAAUGCGGCGGCACCACAUGGUGACAGUUGUUAAAGUGGGGGAUCUUCGGAUCUCGCGCCUGAAGAGGAGCCUGCGGCAGAUUAGCUAGUUGGUAAGGUAACGGCUUACCAAGGCGACGAUCUGUAGCCGGCCUGAUAGGGCGGUCGGCCACACUGACACUGACAUACGGGUCAGACUCCUACGGGUGGCAGCAGUCGGGAAUUUUGGGCAAUGGGCGAAAGCCUGACCCAGCAACUCCGCGUGAAGGAUGAAAUCCCUCGGGAUGUAAACUCCGCAAGAAUGGGGUGAAUUAGUAGGGGUUAACACCCCCUAUGAUGACGGUACCAUUUGUAAGCUCCGGCUAACUCCGUGCCAGCAGCCGCGGUAAUAAGGGCGU